rnacentral:rRNA from 1 species
GCAAGUCGAGCGAACGGACGAGAAGCUUGCUUCUCUGAUGUUAGCGGCGGACGGGUGAGUAACACGUGGAUAACCUACCUAUAAGACUGGGAUAACUUCGGGAAACCGUAGCUAAUACCGGAUAAUAUUUUGAACCGCAUGGUUCAAAAGUGAAAGACGGUCUUGCUGUCACUUAUAGAUGGAUCCGCGCUGCAUUAGCUAGUUGGUAAGGUAACGGCUUACCAAGGCAACGAUGCAUAGCCGACCUGAGAGGGUGAUCGGCCACACUGGAACUGAGACACGGUCCAGACUCCUACGGGAGGCAGCAGUAGGGAAUCUUCCGCAAUGGGCGAAAGCCUGACGGAGCAACGCCGCGUGAGUGAUGAAGGUCUUCGGAUCGUAAAACUCUGUUAUUAGGGAAGAACAUAUGUGUAAGUAACUGUGCACAUCUUGACGGUACCUAAUCAGAAAGCCACGGCUAACUACGUGCCAGCAGCCGCGGUAAUACGUAGGUGGCAAGCGUUAUCCGGAAUUAUUGGGCGUAAAGCGCGCGUAGGCGGUUUUUUAAGUCUGAUGUGAAAGCCCACGGCUCAACCGUGGAGGGUCAUUGGAAACUGGAAAACUUGAGUGCAGAAGAGGAAAGUGGAAUUCCAUGUGUAGCGGUGAAAUGCGCAGAGAUAUGGAGGAACACCAGUGGCGAAGGCGACUUUCUGGUCUGUAA